rnacentral:rRNA from 1 species
GACGAACGCUGGCGGCGUGCUUAACACAUGCAAGUCGAACGGAAAGACCCUGCUUUUGUGGGGUGCUCGAGUGGCGAACGGGUGAGUAACACGUGAGUAACCUGCCCUUGACUUUGGGAUAACUUCAGGAAACUGGGGCUAAUACCGGAUAGGAGCUCCUGCUGCAUGGUGGGGGUUGGAAAGUUUCGGCGGUUGGGGAUGGACUCGCGGCUUAUCAGCUUGUUGGUGGGGUAGUGGCUUACCAAGGCUUGGACGGGUAGGCGGCCUGAGAGGGUGACCGGCCACAUUGGGACUGAGAUACGGACCAGACUCCUACGGGAGGCAGCAGUGGGGAAUAUUGCACAAUGGGCGGAAGCCUGAUGCAGCAACGCCGCGUGCGGGAUGACGGCCUUCGGGUUGUAAACCGCUUUCGCCUGUGACGAAGCGUGAGUGACGGUAAUGGGUAAAGAAGCACCGGCUAACUACGUG